UUCGAAAGAGAAGAGAUGAAAAGACGAUUUCAUCUGUGAUGGUGACGGAGGAGAACUGCGGGCGAGGAUCAGCAGGAUAUGGACGGCGAGUUCGGUUCGGUGCGAGAGGUGUUGAGAGAUCGUCUCCGCCUCUCCUCCAUCUCCAUAGCCCAUGCUCAAGGCUAUCGGUCGGGUCCGGUGAAUGGGUCCUCACCUGGAACCGGGACCGGACCGAUAUUUACCGGUUCAGGUUCGGUCCGGUUCUUUUUGCUCAUAGAACCGUCAAACGCCCCUCCUCCUCCAUCUCCGAAGACUCUCUGCGUUGCUAGGGUCUUGAAACAGCGGAGGCGGCUGUCGCAGUGGGGCCGAAGAUCAUGGUGGGAUUCAAGAACCGGUACAUGGUGAUGGAGGUAUUCUUGGAUCCGAAUCGAGAGCUCGCGGUGGAUGACCCCAUCAUACUCACUCAAUUCAACGUAUCCAAAGCGAUACGGGACAGCAUCCUCGUGAACUUCGGGGAGUGCGGCCUCGCUUCGUCUCUCGGAUCCUUUCAAGUGAAGUAUGUAAAUCCCAUCACGAAGCUUUGCAUCAUCAGAGCUUCUAGGGAGGAGCACCAGAAGGUUUGGGCUGCGAUCACCUUGGUCACGAGCGUCGGAAAUUGCCCGGUGCUGUUUAAUUUACUCGACUUGAGCGGAAGCAUCAAGGCCGGUAAAAAAGCUGCCUUGAAGUGUGAUGAGUUGAAAUUUGAGCAGUACAAGCUUGCCUCCGGGUCUUGUCUCUCACCUGAGGUGAUUCAGCAGAUGCACAACUACCAAGAAAAGAUUAAAAUUUUGGAGCACUAGGAGCUCUGCACUUGUACAGUGUACACACCUCUGGCUGGUCUAUGGAAGCAGGGCAAGAAACCCUUUUCAACUUUCACCUUAAGGAUGAUAACUUUCCUUUUCUUCCUCAAGCCCCCUCAGCUCUCUUCUCACUGGAGUUGAUAUUCCGUAUAUCAGACACGCCAGAUUUACACCAAGGUUCAAGAUGCAAUGUGGAAUAUGAAGCCGAAAGAUUAUUGUUUGAGCACAAAUACAAAAGAAUUGCUGGUACCAGUUAUGUUUUUUGCUGGCAGGGUGCAGCGGUCUUGACUUGAGUCUGAUUGCCCUCUACUCCAUGAGAUAAUUUUGGGGUGCUGAAUAAAUGAUGAUUGCAAGCCUGUAUCUGUUUUGUGCACUCUGGAUGCUUCCAAAUUGCAUUGAGAUCCCUUGAUUUCGAUGGUUUAGAUGUAUUUGGACGUCGUGUAUCUGCCAAAAGCUGAACAUUACCAUCUCAAUCCCCCUUUAUAUAAACUGAGAGGGACUGUACAAGUACACAACUUCCUUGCGCACACAAAGUUUGAGCCAAACCACAGGCACCAAGAAUCUCUGGAAACACAUAGCCAGAUGAAGCAGCUCUCUUAUCAUUGAAUUCAAGGAAAGUAGCGAUCCAUGAUUGGGGCUAAUGAAGCGUUUCCAAGUGUCACUGUACCAUGUCAUCUAUAUUCUCUUUACGUUUUAACUACUAAACUGGUGCAGACGAACCAAUCUCUUAAAGCUGAAUAAUCUAUUACCAGUAUCAAUAUAAUUCAGUUAUAGAAGUCAUUACGGUA